GACGAACGCUGGCGGCGUGCUUAACACAUGCAAGUCGAACGGAAAGGCCCUGCGCUUGUGGGGUGCUCGAGUGGCGCACGGGGGAGUAACACGUGAGUAACCUGCCCUUGACUUUGGGAUAACAUCAGGAAACUGGGGCUCAUACCGGAUAGGAGCUCCUGCUGCGUGGGGGGGGUUAGAAAGUUUCGGCGGUUGGGGCUGGACUCGCGGCUUAUCAGCUGGUUGGUGGGGUAGUGGCGGACCAAGGCUUUGACGGGUAGCCGGCCUGAGAGGGUGACCGGCCACAUUGGGACUGCGAUACGGCCCAGACUCCUACGGGAGGCAGCAGUCGGGAAUAUUGCACAAUGGGCGGAAGCCUGAUGCAGCAACGCCGCGUGCGGGAUGACGGCCUUCGGGUUGUAAACCGCUUUCGCCUGUGACGAAGCGUGAGUGACGGUAAUGGGUAAAGAAGCACCGGCUAACUACGUG
rnacentral:rRNA from 1 species